AAAUGGCGACAUCUAGUGUUAGUAAUGGCGAGUGUAGGCCAUUUAGGUUUACACAUUACACAUUACAAUAUUGUAUUACAUAAACAUACGAACCAUUGGUUAAAAUACAUCUAUUACUACUUACAUAUAACACUGAGCUUUUUUAAUUUAGGUGUGCAAGCGGGACAAUAAGAAAACAAGUCAAACAGACGCCAGUUUUAUGGACCCGAAAAUGCCGACCAGAAGUGCCGCCAGUCGUGGGACAUGCAAGUAGAAGCAGUGUGGCGAAAUUUUUUUCUCUGCAUUUGAUCCAUCACCCUUGAUCACCCCCCUGGGAGGUGAGGGGAGCAGUGAGCAGCAGCGGUGCCGCGCCCGGGUGUCAGGCUUGGACUUGGUCUUGGGUUGUUUUCCCGAAGUGCAAAGCGAA